UUCUGAUCAGCUGUACAUCAGUUACACUAUAACUAAAAGCACAACCUCUGAGUCUGUGCACAAAGUCACAGCAGGAUCUUAAAGCAGCAGCACAAAUUGGCCUCAUGAAAAAUACACUGACAAACAAGAACAUUAGGUCCACGACUUCUCGACUGUUUUCGUGAAGCUGCUUGUUUAAUGUUUUGGUACUGCAGGGGUUUCAGGUAAAUCAGCAUUUUGCUCUGUUUCUGCCUGCAUAGAUACCAGCAUCUAUCGGUUCCUUAGCUGAGUCAUAUUCUAAUAAAAAUGUCAUAAAGGCAUCAACUCGUAUGACAGAGAUGUUUUUGCUAGAUAUUCCUUUUUAAAAAAUGUGAGAAUUUGACAUAUAGUUAAUUCAUGAUUCUUCCUUAAGAUCUAGCAUCUUGCAUUCAGAGUCUCUUGUCUGUUUGGUAAACACAUUAAUGGAGCAACUAAACCUCAGCUGUUUCUCAAUCUCGCACAAAUGCUUCUGCUCCAUUAAGUUUUGAGGUUGCUUAAAGCCUCUUUUAGAAGAGAAAAGCUGUGUUCUAACUAUUUGUGCACUGAGCAGCUUCAGCUCUAAUCCUAAUCAAAACUCCGAUGAUAAGACUCAAUCACAACAAAUGGUAAUGUUCUGUCUGGGAGGGCUGUUGUACAUUAAAUCAGGCUUGGCCGGCGUCCUACUAGACGCAUGUGGUUGGAGACGACAGAACAUUCAGGUGGACUCAGGGGCUGUAAGAGGCUUAUGCAGUUCUUACUGGGAGAAACCUGGGCAGCUUGCACAAGGUGAUCCAGGGACUUAGGGCAUAAAGUACAUUUCUGAAUGGAGCCUGAAUGAAGGGUGCCAUUGUUGUCGUUGGGAAUUAGAGGUAACCCGGGGCUUGUUUAGUGCGCGUUCAGCUGUCAGGCAGCCAGACAGACGAGGAGUAUCCCUAGCAACUCAUAGUUUAUAUGUCUCAAGUGAAAAUGUGUGUCUCUGUGUGAGACUUUGGCCCUAAUAGCAGCCUGUCACCAACACAACAAUGCCGUCUUAGUGCGUUACCUGAAUGUGAGUUUGGUUUUGAACACAGCUUGCCCUUGCAGUCCAGUACCCUGUCGGAUGAACAGGUGGUUGUGGUCUCCCUGGAGAGGAGCUUUGUAAACAUCAAACACUUCGUUCCCCAGGUGGAGGGACAUGCUGCGACAAGAAUAGGAAAUUGAAAAGGCAUGAAAAGUACAGAUCACGUCCCGUUCACAGUGUCACAACCCCAACAUCGAGCUUGACGUAACACACACCUGCCAUCGGACCAUUUGACAAUACGUGCAUUGCUUUCUCGUGUUUCAUUUCCCUCCUCGUCUCUCUUCACUCUCCACCGGAUUGUAUUCUCCACCUGUGAGAGAAAAGUAGAAAACCUCACUUUCACAUGUUCUGACAAGCAUCAUAGAAGAUCUUUUAGGAACUGAUAGUGCUUCCAGUUUAUUAAAUUUUGAGCCCACACAGACAACUACACACCUUCAGUUUGAGCCUGGUUCGUCCUUCUUCAUCCAGCAUUUCUUCAUCUUCAAAUUCAUCCUCAUAGUACUGAGGAUCAAAGGGUCUAUAAAGGCAGAUAGAGUGAAAAUCCAAAUAAAUAAACCUUUUAUGGUCAUCAAAUCUCUUACUGGACUAGCCCCUGACUAUUUAUCUGAUACAUUGGCUCGGUUUGCCCCUUUUAUAUGCCUCAGAUCCUCUAACGCUGGACUCUUAAACUUUUACUAGACUACAAUUAAGACAUACUGAGACGCUGGACAAUAUGUCAUUGGCCUUUCCCUUUGAAAUAACAUUUAAAAGUAUCUGAUCAAUAGAUGGCUUUAAAUGAAACCUUAAAGCAUCUUUGUAGGCUUGUGUUUAUCUAGUGUCAUGUAAUUGACUAGUAUCAAACCAAUUUAUUACUCUACUGGACUAUUAGAGUGAUUUUAGUGCAAAUAUUUAAUUGUUUUAUGAUUAUUAUAUUAUUUUUAUGAUCAAAUUUUUAUUGAUUUAAAGCAAUCUGUGGUGUACUUGCUGUAUGAACUGUGCAAUACAAAUAACACUACUGCUAUGUGACUUUUCUUGUCCCUAUUCUAUCUUCUUUCAUAUUUGAUCUUUUCCCUACAUUUUAAAAGGACCUCAGAGAUGAUAAAGUAAACAAUGUGUUGCUGUAUGUACAGUGCUGUAUUCUGACCUGGGCUCCACAGACAGAAAGUUGGGCAGUUUGACAAAAUAAAGGUCAGAUCCCAGGUCAGUGCUGACUUUAGGGAUCUCUACUUCAAUGCGAGUUUCAGGUGCAGGCUCCUCAUCUGCCUGCUCCCCCUCCAUCCCAUCCUCUGUAUCCUGGACACACACAAAGAGAAUAUUUCAAAAAAAAAAAAGAAGACACUGUAUGAUUCGUUGACCCACGAUAAUAGGGAUCAGCUCAGAGAGGCUUAGCGAAAGGCUCUGAGAAAAAGAGAUUUGGGAAUUCUUUUAAAGAGGACUCUGCACAAUUAAAGAGGUUUGAUGACCGGUGCAGGGAAGAGGCAGAGAGCCAGAGGACAGAUAGGUACCAGGGGCUGUCCCGGGGUCGGAGGCUUCUCUGCAUCGCUGUCUGAUGAGAUGUCGUCAGCCUCUCCGAACAGGUCGUCUGCUGCAGUCUUCUUUACUGUGGAACAGUAUGGAAGAGGAACUAUUUUAAAACAUGUCAACAAAAAUGUCAAAUUCAGCAGCAUUAAAGCUCAGAUUUGAACUGCAGCUGCUCCUAUAAAACAAAAAUUUUAAGUUAGCAGUGAAUAGAUUUCUUUCUUACCUUUCUUCGUUCCAAUAUCACUGUCUGAAUCUGAAUCAGAGGCAGGCUUUGCUUUGGUUUUCUGCCUUAUGAAGUCAUCUUCACUAUCGCUGCCCUUUGCAGACUCUGAAAAAUAAAUCACAAUAGGUAAUUUAAGGUACAACUUCCAUGAAACUGCAUGGUUUAAAUCAAACAUACAGGACACAAAGCAUAUAAAGUAAAAAGGGUUCAGUACCACAUGCAGAAAGGCUGAGGGACAAAUUAAUCUCAUAUUAACCUCAGAGUUCUGAGCUAAACCUUCGAGUUCAGGAUAAAAUGCUCACCUAUGGCCAUAAUCCACAAAUUCUAAUGCGUGAAGAUUAACAUGCUGCGGUUUGUGUUCAACGUUUCUUGUAUCUCUGACACCAGACCCACCUGGUUUCCUGUUCCUCGGCCCUUCAUCAUCAGAGUUCUCUCUGUCUUCAUCAGAGUAACGACGUUUCUCCUCCUCAUCCUCCGACUGGUCGCUUUUAACUCCCCCCCCCCACUUCUCAUCGUCUGAUUGGUUCUCCCUGCCGGAAGCUUCCCCAUCAGAGUGAGGGGUACCUGGACCCGACUGUGGAGUCCCAGGAUCACUGUGCAAACUGGUUCAAAACACAGAUAUACGAUCAAAUAAGGUGGUAGUCUGACAACAAAGGAAAAUGUCUUGUAAUAACAUCAUAGGCUGGAUUAUUAAUUUGGUCUCUAUCUUCCAAGAUGUAGAAACACAAGUAAAAAUUGUCAAAAGUGCUGAAACAGGAAGUAAAACAAUUUAUUUCUGAAAUUUACUAGUUGUUACUAGUUACUAGUAUUUACUAACAAUGUUAUGUACCUCACGUGGCUGUUAGCAAAAGACUGACAAAUAUAAUUUGUUGCUAUUUCCAUUAAUGAUUAAGCCUGGCAAUAAUCUGUUUUAAUAGUAAUAGCUUGAAAAGAAUGAAACUAGUCAGUGUCUCUGUACAUCCUGACUUAUACAGUUUGUGGCUCUCAGGCUCAAACCCAUUCACAAGUACAUAGUUUCACUGUUGUUAGUGAAAGAAUACUAGAAUCCAUGAAAGGGUUAGAUUUUCUCUAGAGAUAUAUAUGUACGGAUGAAUUAAAAAAGAAUCUACAGUAUCUGCGUUAACUGUAAUGAGGGAACAUGUCUCUCAGUUCAACACUGUAUUUCAUUUUCACUGAGAUUACUUGAUCAGGUAAAGGUUUGGUAUAUUUAUUUGUUGUGCAGAAUGUUUUUCUUCUGGCAGAUUGCACAAUUCAACACUUCCAGGGUUCAGAAUAGUCACUUUGAUCAUUUGAUACACAAAAAUGAAAAAAAUUACUUGAAUAAAUGAAACUUCAACUAACAAAACUGGUUUAAAAAAACACAUUUGAGGAUGAAAUUAGGAGAAGUGAUUUGCUGUAACUGACUUUUGAUAGCCAUGAAUUAAGUCUUUGCUGGGAUUUGUUGAUAAGACUACAAAAACACACUGCAUCACAGCUAAAGCAUGUCAAUAUACUUUACAAAAAGAAUAUACAGUAAGAUAUUAGAACAUCUCAGUCUCUAAAUAAGCAUCCACAUCACAUCCCUCUGAUAUCAUCUACAUUCAUCUAUACUGAGUUCUGCCCUGUGUGUGCUGUCAUACCUUCUGUCUGAAGGGACGCUGCCCCUGUCAGAAUGAGGGCUUCCACCACCAGACAUCCCGCUGCCAGCUGGGCUUCCUCCAUCCGACCGGUGGCCGCCGUCAUCCUCGUCUUCGUCCUCAUCUCGGUGUUCGUGCUCCGAGCCGCUGUGCUGCUCUGCAUCAGAGUGAUCAUUUUCCCCCUGGUCGGAGUGCAUGCUGGCGUCUGACUGGUUUCCUGAGCGUUCGGAUUGGUUGUCGCUGCCGCUGUGUUGACUGUGCUGCUCAUCCUCACUGUCAUCUCCAAACAGCUCCUAUAGGGCAGAAGGAAAGAUUAAUAUGUUUAGAUCUUGUACAGAUAAACAUCAUUCCUGCACACUGUCCAUCCCGACCUCUCUACCAGGUUUACGUCGUGUUUGGAAGGUAAUUAAUCUUUCCAAUGAGUUCACAUGUACAAGCCCAGUAUACAACUGAAUAAAUCUGGGGUUAAAUAAGCACCAAGGAGAAACAGCUAUAUUGACACUAAAAUUUAAUUUCCAAGGUAAGCAGAAACAUGUUCAAUAUCACAGCAAGUAUUGGCAAUAUAAGUAUCAGCCUAUGUGCUUUUUUUGAAGUUUCACUUCAUCCUAUUAUUUUGCAAAUCAUGUUACAAGUAAUUAAAAUUGUGAACUCAGGCUACAGUGCUUACACACUCUGCAGUGUCAAACCGAAGCUCCGAAUUUUCAUUUGUUCUUGUUAACAAUGACACGACAUUUAUAUAAGCAAGGAUGCUCUGGUGAGUUUGUUCCCUCAAGAGAAGUUCCAUUUUUAAUAAGCAGAGUCCAAUGUAACACAGAAAUAUUACUUAUUUUCUUGCCUAUACAUCAUUUUUACUCCUCAGAGAUUGUUAGGUUACUGUGGUAGCAGCAGAAUUUUCAGUGCUACCACCUAACUUGCAUCAUGUUGUCUGAAUGAUGUCUACAAGAUCUAAAAAUAAAAGCACACACCUUA